CUCUCUGUACUGCAAUCAAUUUCUUCCAGCUUUCUAAUAUCUCUCCCAUUAAGCCUUCUGAGGAGAGGAACUACACCUGUUUUAUCUUGGUAACUAGCACUUUGCACCAUGCCUGACACAGAGGAGGUGUUUUAAAACUGUCUUUCAAUGGAUUACCACAGAAAAAAGUUGCUCACCUCUAGAAGAUGCUAGAGCAGGUACAGUGGAAAGAGCAUGGACUUGGAGGGCAGACAAAGGCAUGGACUUCGUGUUGAACUGCAGGUUUGAGCCAAGGAAUGGUGAGGUGUGAGCUCUACAUUAUGCUGAGAUGGCUAUGUACAAGUAUAUCCAGAAUGACGGUGGAUACGUUGAAAGUCCAAUCAACUGUGCUAAAUCUUGAAUCAGUUCUCUCUGUUGCCUUUUGCAGUAAAUAAGGAAAUAUGGAGUAAAAGAGUAAUCUUCCUGCUGAGCAUGUUUUGCGGUUGCCAGCGCUGCCCCGGGUGUGUCUGGAGGAACACUCCCUGUUGCCUAACAACUGCUGUAAUGUAACGGAAAUAGAAGCACGAUGCCACACAUCCCUCAGAAAACGACUUGGCCCUUGGCCCUCCUGUGGAUGAAGAGUAUAUUGAAGAGAAACUGGAUAUUUCUAAAUUUGCUAAGACUCGCUUUUCUCACUUGCUCUCAGAUCACACUACUUUUGAGUAGCCCAAAAUUUUGUUGCCAACUCAGCAAGUUAAGCAAACAAUAUUACAAAUCAUGUUGAAACUGAAGUGGUCCCCAUGGGCCAGUGAGUACGGUGCAGGUGGAGAAAAAAUUAGCUGCUGAGUUAGGACAAACUGCUCCAAUUUUGAAGGCACAAAUGGGCAUCAUCUUGGGCCCGGGUACUACCCAAGGUGGACCUCUCAAUCAGGCUCUUAUGCUCCCAGGUGUAGUUGUUGGGUGAACUCUCUCCCUGGAUGCUCAGGGACAGCAUCUCAGAGAGAGGUGAAUGGAAAAACCAUGAGACCCUGUACACACUCUAGGUGCAAUGGAUUACAAGGGUUGAUAGCUCUUCUUAGUAACCGAAAGCCUAUAUGCUCCAUCUUUCUUGAUGGCAAGGUCCCUGGGAAGGAGACAUUCUCUUAGAAUGUCAUUAAAUGACCAUAGAAUAAGCAUGAAGUGAGUGGAAUUAUGUGGAAGGGAUUCAGCAUUUUACCCAAGCACUGGGCAGCCCCUGGGUGUGGCUGUCCCUCCACAGUGGCCUGUCUGUCUAAGUCUUGACCCACCCACCCAGAUCCUCUUGGAAGCCACUGAUAGCAUUUGCCUCUGGGAAUUCUGCAGCCUUUGCUGAUGAGUCUCAGUUGACACCAUCUAUCAUUGCAGAUACAGAUGUCUCCAAAAGGCAAUUGCCAAAGGCUGUGCCACACAGCACACACCUGUCCAUGUGCAGAUUGAUUCUGUUAAACUCUUCAGCUAUCUUGUGGGCUGCUUUUCCCUGCCUCAUUAUCUGCCUGCAGACCUUCCUUCUGUGUUCUCUGCUCUUAGAGGUCAGAUUGAUCUGUAUUUUUAUCAAGAUGAGGAAGGAGAUGGUAGACUGUGAAUCAAGGAUCUACCUCUCCCAGUAAUUCACUGUGGCAUCUUGGGGCACCUGCUGGCCCUCUCUGAGCCUCCAUUUUCUUACCCACGAAAUGUGGAUUUGGACCCAGUUAUCUCCAACCACCCAAGAGUCUGUGAUUCUGCUACUAAGAAAAGCAAAAGGCAAGUACAAGAUAGCAUGUGUUUAGUUGCUGGGGAAAGCUCAGUCUAAUAUUAAAAAUAAUAAGUAUAAAAAUAAUCACCACCAUUCACUCGAGCUUGCUUUGCCAGUUCUGCACUGUGAUCUUUGCAGGGGUAAUCUUACUGAAUCCUCUGCUCCAACCCUACCAGGUGGGAACUACUUUUAUCUUUAUUUUUCUGAUGAGGAGAUUGAGCCUCAGAGAUGUUAAGCAACCUGCCGAAGCAGAGAGUUAAUAUGUCGGGAUUCAUCACAGGCAGAUCCCUCUGCUCUUGGGAAGCCCAGACCUCAGAAGCAGGAGUGGGUCUGAUUCAGGUGUGCUCUGAGGGCCAGCUGUCCUUUCCAAAAAUGCCUUCCUUUAUUUAGACACCAACAUCCUUGCUAUUUUGGAUUUUUCAAUGAGCUUCCUUAUUUUCUCCCUAUUCUGUCCUAUUCAGCAAAAUGAAUGAAUAAAUAUAGGUUCCUAAUGUUACAAAUUUAAUUUUCUUCUAGAAAUGAAAGUGUUUAUUUCUCUUCUUUUAUUUCUCAAGCCAAAAUAAUUAUUUCCUCCUUCUUAGAAGUCCAGGAAUAGGUUAAACUUUAAUUAAAAGUCUUAUGGUUCAACAGUUGGAAUGAGGAUCAGGUAAUAACGAAGAAACCCCGUAAACACCCUGAGGAGAACCAGCACCCCCUCCAUUGGUUGUUUUAGCUCAGCCCACAGCUAACAGCUCAGCUCAGAAAGUUCCUACCACCCACUCCGCUUCUAACGCCUUUUAAUAUUCGCACAGAGUUUUCUCACAUUGUGGCUCUCACACACUUCCUUUAUACAUGCUGUUUCCUCAGCCUGGAAUGCCACCUCUUUCUUUACCUGGAGAACCCCUGUCCCUUAAAGACGCAGGUCAGAAGUCACGUAGUACUCCUCUGCUACCACCUAAUGCAAAGCGUGAUUAUUCCUUCACUUCUCUUCUGCAUUUAAAUUAUUGAGGGAAGAGGCUUGGUCUCAUUGCCUUUGGAAUAGCUCUGGAUCUGCGUUCAUGUUUUGUAUAUAAUACGACUCAGUAAAGGUUGUGUAAUAUAUGACUUUCAUAUGUGUGUAUGCAAAGAUAAUGUGUUCCCAUGCCCUUUGACUCAGUUUUCCCCAUGGCAAUGAAUUUAACCACAGGAAAUAAUUGAAUAGGAGAAAGAAGAUUACACAGAUGGAAGUUCUAUAAAAUAUGUAUUUGCUAAACAUUGGAAACAAGUUAAAUGUUUAUCAAUUGAGUAAUGGCAAGUAAAUUGGGGUACAUGAUC
rnacentral:lncRNA from 10 species